rnacentral:rRNA from 1 species
UGGGGAAUUUUGGACAAUGGGCGAAAGCCUGAUCCAGCAAUGCCGCGUGUGUGAAGAAGGCCUUCGGGUUGUAAAGCACUUUUGUCCGGAAAGAAAUCCUUGGCUCUAAUACAGUCGGGGGAUGACGGUACCGGAAGAAUAAGCACCGGCUAACUACGUGCCAGCAGCCGCGGUAAUACGUAGAGUGCAAGCGUUAAUCGGAAUUACUGGGCGUAAAGCGUGCGCAGGCGGUUUGCUAAGACCGAUGUGAAAUCCCCGGGCUCAACCUGGGAACUGCAUUGGUGACUGGCAGGCUAGAGUAUGGCAGAGGGGGGUAGAAUUCCACGUGUAGCAGUGAAAUGCGUAGAGAUGUGGAGGAAUACCGAUGGCGAAGGCAGCCCCCUGGGCCAAUACUGACGCUCAUGCACGAAAGCGUGGGGAGCAAACAGGAUUAGAUACCCUGGUAGUCCACGCCCUAAACGAUGUCAACUAGUUGUUGGGGAUUCAUUUCCUUAGUAACGUAGCUAACGCGUGAAGUUGACCGCCUGGGGAGUACGGUCGCAAGAUUAAAACUCAAAGGAAUUGACGGGGU